rnacentral:lncRNA from 1 species
AGUCACAGAACUGACUCCCCGGAGGGCUCGCUGCCUUGCUUUUCUCUGGUCCUUGUUCAUCGCAUACCUCCAGGCAACUUCAGCCUCACCUUUGCCCUAAGGUAAGGAGCAAGGGUUGUAUGGUAGCUUCCAGGUGGAGCCAAGAGACCCUUAGUCUAGUUGGUUCAUCAUAUGCUGUAUUUCUGCACUAAAAAACCCAGACAUACACAUGCACACUCAGCUCACACAUAUACACUCACUACUGACACAUACAUAUACACACUCACUUGCAUGAACAGCCGCUCACAUAUGUUCACACUCUCACUCGUAAACUCACAUGCAUGCACACAUUCUCAUAUACACAUGUAUGUACACUUGCACAUACACAUUUGCUCAUCCACACAUACAUACACUUACUUGCACAAAGAUACACUCAUGCAUACUCGCGUCCACACACUCAAAUGCACACACACAGAUAUACACUCAACAGGGUGCUCCAAACUCAAAGGUGAGUGUUUUGGAGAAGUUAUCCUCUUUUUGGUUAGUUUUCCUACAAUUCCUUCUUUUCAGAAUCUAGUUUUUCAGCUGGAGGAGGUGUCCUGCGUCUGAGUGAGAAAAGCUGUUGUGGUUUCUUAAAUUUUUUAGCUGCACAGGCGGAAGGAUAUUCUUCCUUGUGGUUUAGAAUUACAUCUAGAAAGUUGCAAACAGAUUUCCACAGCCUCCCUUAAGGUGCCUUCUUGUGCUGUUUUAAAAAGGAGGGCUCUAGAGAAGGCACUGAUAUAUAUAUUUUUUAAUAAAAGGAAAAAUAAAAUACAAGGACAUGGAAUGAAUAAGGAGAGUGAAGGGAAAACAAGCCCGAGGAGAUAAAGUGAAAAUUCUCUUACAUUUGAGACUUGGGUUGGAGGUGGGGGUUGGGGACUGCCAACU